rnacentral:rRNA from 1 species
UACGUAGGGUGCAAGCGUUGUCCGGAAUUAUUGGGCGUAAAGAGCUCGUAGGCGGUUUGUUGCGUCGGCUGUGAAAUCCCGAGGCUCAACCUCGGGUCUGCAGUCGAUACGAGCAAACUAGAGGUGUUGCAGGGGAGACUGGAAUCCUGGUGUAGCGGUGAAAUGCGCAGACGUAUCAGGGAGGGAACACCGGUGGGCGAAAG